rnacentral:rRNA from 1 species
UACGUAGGCAGCAAGCGUUGUUCGGAAUUACUGGGCGUAAAGAGUAUGUAGGCGGUUCGCCAAGUUUGGUGUGAAAUCUCCCGGCUUAACUGGGAGGGUGCGCCGAAAACUGGCGGGCUUGAGGGUGGGAGAGGUAAGCGGAAUUUCUGGUGUAGCGGUGAAAUGCGUAGAUAUCAGAAGGAACACCUGUGGUGUAGACAGCUUACUGGACCAUUUCUGACGCUGAGAUACGAAAGCGUGGGUAGCAAACAGG